rnacentral:rRNA from 1 species
CCUACGGGUGGCAGCAGUGAGGAAUAUUGGACAAUGGGGGAAACCCUGAUCCAGCGACGCCGCGUGAGUGAAGAAGUAAUUCGUUAUGGAAAACUCCAUCAGCAGGGAAGAAAAUGACGGUACCUGAGUAAGAAGCCCCGGCUAACGACGGGCCAGCAGCCGCGGGAAUACGCAGGCGGCAAGCGUUAUCCGGAGUUACUGGGUGUAAAGGGAGCGUAGACGGGUGUUCAAGUCUGGAGUGAAAGGCGGGGGCUCAACCCCCGGACUGCUCUGGAAACUGUAAGGCUGGAGUGCAGGAGAGGUAAGUGGAAUUCGUGGUGUAGCGGUGAAAUGCGUAGAUAUGAGGAAGAACACCAGUUGCGAAGGCAGCUUACUGGCCUGUAACUGACGUUGAGGCACGAAAGCGUGGGGAGCAAACAGGAUUAGAUACCCCUGUAGUC